rnacentral:rRNA from 1 species
AAGCGGAGGAAGGAAUGGGCAACGGUAGGUCAGUAUGCCCCGAAUAUCCCGGGCUACACGCGAGCUACAAUGGUUGGUACAAUGGGUAUCUACCCCGAAAGGGGACGGGAAUCUCCUAAAACCAAUCUUAGUUCGGAUUGAGGGCUGCAACUCGCCCUCAUGAAGCUGGAAUCCGUAGUAAUCGCGUUUCAACAGAACGCGGUGAAUACGUCCCUGCUCCUU